UCUCCGUAGGUGAACCUGCGGAGGGAUCACUACAGGCUAGCGAAAGAUCUGAAACCACUGUUUAUCUACCUGAAUCUGCUUCCGCGUGCGGCCCCAGAGCGGGGCCGUAGCCGCAAGGCGCCCGCCGAAGACCCCUAAACUCUGUCGUUUUGAGAAUCUCUGAGUAAUAAUAUUAAACAAAAACAACUUUCAACAACGGAUCUCUUGGCUCUG
rnacentral:misc_RNA from 1 species